CCGAAAGCACCAACGGCUAUGAUGUCGCACAUGUGUUUGGACAGUCAGAUGAUAGGCCAAAUUCAGUUAAAAGCUUCCUUCUCUUCACAAUUUUGUCUUCAUCUUCUUUAAACCCAAAAUUCCAGUUAAACAAGUGAGUGAGCGGGGAGGUUGAGAGCAAAAAACAAUAAAGAGAGAGAGAGAGAGAAUGACACACCAGAAUAGAGUAUACGUUUUGUGUGCGUAACAGAGGGGGGAUACUUCUUCUCGCCGAGCUCUCAAAUUGUAGCAGGAAGCUCCAAAACCCAAAAUCGUUGCUGCUGCACCUGAACGACACCUCUAUUAAGAUAAGCAUCUGUUCUUCAUCCAAUUUCACUUCUGUUUUGUGUUUCCUUUCAAAAAUUCAUAGUCAAUCAUGAAGAUAAUGUGUUAGGAGUGUUAGGAUUUUAUUUCCAAAACUAAAACAACUUUUCAACUCAAAAUCAUCUUUCUGCUCUGCAAGCACAACUAUUGUGAGUUUCAAAGAAGAAUUCUUGAAUUUUUAGCAUAUUCUUUGUGCGAUGUAGCUUCCCGUCUCGUGCGAUUAAUGGGUAAGAUGGGUAGAAAUCUUGUUGAUGCAUGAUUUGAGAUAUUUAGAUACAUUUGACGAUUAAACUGCUUAAAUUAAUUUGGUGAUGUUGCAUAUGUUAAGCUAAUGUGUGUGUGUCUCAUGAAAUGUGAUUUUUACAAAUUAGGAUGAUAUUUUUGAUGCAUGAAUGAAAAGAGUGAAUGGGUGUUGGUGAUUGAUGCUUAGAAAACAAAGAAAGUAGAAAAUAAUUUUCAAGGAAUUUGAACCGAAUGGUUCUGUCACAAGCAUGCGGGACCAAGGUGCUGUUGCUGCAGGGCGUGUGCUAUCCUGCAGCUUGCGAGCAUGCGUGGGACAUUGAUGGACACCGAUAACAGUUUGGAAAUUACCCUUAGACACGGGCAAAGUAAAAAGAAAAAGGAAAUUUUUAAAAUUUGGGAUUAUGGAAAUUAUUUGAGAUAAAAUGGGCUAAUUAGUAAGGAUAAAAACUAUACUUAAUAAAUAGUUAAAUUCUCUUAGUAAUAUCAGGAUUUAAAUAUAAAAUAAGAAAAUUCACAAGUCAUAAAAUAAAUUAAAAUAUUCAGAAGAAUUAAGAUUUUAAUUUUCUAAACUUAUAAUAAAAUUUAUGAAUUCAGAGAAAGAUAAUAAAGUCUAAGAAUUUAAGCAAAUAAAAUAAAAGUAAAAAAUUUAAAUCUACACCUGGUUUAAAUUUGACACACUGUAUUUCUUUCAAAGAGUAUUUAGUUUGCUUAUUUAUUUAGGAGGCACUAUGUUAUGGGUACUAGUUUUGGUUCCUUAAUGGGACAUGUAGUUCAUGUUCUGGGGCCCAAGAGCAUGAAUGAUGGCGACAUGGAGAGACAUGAGAGAAUUAAAUUUGUAUUUGUUAUCUAUGAUUGUAUGUUUGUAAAUAUUUGCAUAUUCACCCAUAACUAGUUGGUAUCCUGUUUGCCCUUUUUGAAAAUAGGUAUAGGCGGUUGUGCGCAUAGCUUUAUAAUUAGUGUAAUUUUAAUUAAGAUAAUAACUGGUAAUUAAAACUGUGCCAGAAAAUGAGUUUGGUUCUGGGUGCAUGAGUUGUGUAAACCCAUCGAGUACAGUAUUGAACGUGCUCAUAACAAUUUAUAUGAGAUGAACAUUUGAGUUGAAUAUGAAUAUUGGUUAUGAGAUUUGACUAUGACAUUUGAUUUUAUUUGUUAAUUAAAUUGAGAGAUCCUAUUUUUAAAGUAUGCAUCAAUGAAGGUUUUGAAACAUACAUGUAUUGUGUUAUUUCAUUCUAUCUUACUGAGUAUUAGAACUAACCUAAAUUUAACCCCUCCCCCCCCCCCUUCCCCCCCAAUGUAGAUUUAGAGGAAAGUACUGGAGAGCCAUGUUUAGAUUCCUUUCGGGAAGUGUAAUUUGGAACAGACUCUGUAUUUUAUUUUAGACUUGUGGCUAGUAUUUUGUAA